rnacentral:rRNA from 1 species
UACGUAGGGACCGAGCGUUGUCCGGAAUUAUUGGGCGUAAAGAGCUCGUAGGCGGUGUGUCACGUCGGCCGUGAAAACCUGCAGCUUAACUGUGGGCGUGCGGUCGAUACGGGCAUCACUGGAGUUCGGCAGGGGAGACUGGAAUUCCUGGUGUAGCGGUGAAAUGCGCAGAUAUCAGGAGGAACACCGGUGGCGAAGGCGGGUCUCUGGGCCGAUACUGACGCUGAGGAGCGAAAGCGUGGGGAGCAAACAGG